rnacentral:tRNA from 1 species
GAUGAGGUGGUGGAUGGUUAAUGCAUGGGCUCAGAAGCCUAAGGACCUGGGUUCAAACCCAGCUUUGUCC